UUUCUGAGGGUUAAUGUCCUGGAAGAGAUCUGGUAACAAUUUCGGUGACAAAGGAGCCCCUGGGAGACCUUAAAGGAAGUUUAAGUUUUAGUUUCCAGAGAAGAUUCUCUCUAGUUCUCCGAAUAUUUGGUGGACCCAUCCUGAAUAAGGAACCCUGAAGGACUGUUGCACCUUGUUUUUACAAUUUUAGCAAUCACUUUCCUGUGAAUCCUGCAUGUCCAGUUUGUAAAACAUACUGUGAAGCAGUCAAGGCAGAAGCAGUUUCUUGUCCAGAUGGCUAACCUUGUCACAAUGAAAGCAGACUUCUACAGAGUUUCUUCAAUGCUCACCAUUUUCGUUAAAGUCAAUUGUUAAUGCCAAGAACAGAUGUAUCUUGUUGUCAUGAAAAACUCUAAGUUAAAAAAACAUUUUAAAUGCAGUAUUCUAUAGGUCUUUGAAGUGUUUGAACAUUUAUCUUUCUAAAAUAGAUCUCUGUAUGAUCUAGAAAACUUGACAAACAUAUCUGCAAAUUUGAUUGUUGUAGAUGACUAACUACUACCCAUGUUUUUUGAUUAUGCUAAAUACAUUAUGAUAAUAGCUUUCAUGAACUAGAAUUUACCUUACAUUUUAAAAUGAACUGCAUAGGUACAAUUACUUAAACAAGAAUAGAAACAUAUAUACACUAUGUGGUAACAAAAUAACCUUAAAUUUGUAUCAAUAUACAAAACUCUUGAAGUAGAAACAUAGAUACAGUGUGUUGUAACAAAAAUGACCUUAAUUUGUAUCAAUAUACAAAAGUCCAUACAAAUACAAAAUACUUGAGAUUAA